rnacentral:piRNA from 1 species
UGUGGGUAAAUGGUAAGUGAGUGGUUGUC